GUAGGGGAGCAAAUGGGAUUAGAGACCCCAGUAGUCCUAGCCGUAAACGAUGGAUACUAGGUGCUGUGCGACUCGACCCGUGCAGUGCUGUAGCUAACGCGUUAAGUAUCC
rnacentral:ncRNA from 1 species